ACUACGGGUGGCAGCAGUGGGGAAUAUUGCACAAUGGGGGAAACCCUGAUGCAGCGACGCCGCGUGAGCGAAGAAGUAUCUCGGUAUGUAAAGCUCUAUCAGCAGGGAAGAAAAUGACGGUACCUGAGUAAGAAGCUCCGGCUAAAUAGGUGCCAGCAGCCGCGGUAAGACGUCGGGAGCCAGAGUUAUCCGGAUUUACUGGGCGUAAAGGGAGCGUAGGCGGCCGGCCAAGUCUGAUGUGAAAUACCGGGGCUCAACCCCGGAUCUGCAUUGGAAACUGGCAGGAUGGAGUGUAGGAGAGGGAGGCGGAAUUCAUGGUGUAGCGGUGAAAUGCGUAGAGAUUAGGAGGAACACCAGUGGCGAAGGCGGGUUGCUAGACUGCAACUGACACUGAGGCACGAAAGCGUGGGGAGCAAACAGGAUUAGAUACCCUAGUAGUC
rnacentral:rRNA from 1 species